rnacentral:rRNA from 1 species
AUUGAACGCUGGCGGCAGGCCUAACACAUGCAAGUCGAACGAGUGGCGGACGGGUGAGUAAUGUCUGGGAAACUGCCUGAUGGAGGGGGAUAACUACUGGAAACGGUAGCUAAUCCCGCAUACCAUCAGAUGUGCCCAGAUGGGAUUCGCUGGUGGGGGGGGUAAUGGCUCACCUAGGCGACGAUCCCUAGCUGGUCGGAGAGGAUGACCAGCCACACUGGAACUGAGACAAGGUCCAGAGUACUACGGGAGGCAGCAGUGGGGAAUAGGGCACAAUGGGCGCAAGCCUGAUGCAGCCAUGCCGCGUGUAUGAAGAAGGCCUUCGGGUUGUAAAGUACUUUCAGCGGGGAGGCGUUACCCGCAGAAGAAGCACCGGCUAACUACGUGCCAGCAGCCGCGGUAAUAC